rnacentral:miRNA from 1 species
UAGGUAGUCUCAUGUUGUUGGGU